rnacentral:rRNA from 1 species
UACAGAGGUCCCAAGCGUUGUUCGGAUUCACUGGGCGUAAAGGGUGCGUAGGCGGUUGGGUAAGUCUGUCGUGAAAUCUCCGAGCCUAACUCGGAAACUGCGUCGGAUACUAUUCAACUCGAGGAAUGGAGGGGAGACUGGAAUUCUCGGUGUAGCAGUGAAAUGCGUAGAUAUCGAGAGGAACACCAGUGGCGAAGGCGAGUCUCUGGACAUUUCCUGACGCUGAGGAGCGAAAGUGUGGGGAGCGAACAGG